rnacentral:rRNA from 1 species
GUUGAACGCUGGCGGCAGGCCUAACACAUGCAAGUCGAGCGGGGCGGCGGACGGGUGGGUAAUGCCUAGGUAUCUGCCUGGUAGUGGGGGAUAACGUCCGGAAAAGGGCGCUAAUUACUCCUACUCUCAGAUGAGCCUAUGUGGGAUUAGCUAGUUGGUGGGGUAAGGGCUUACCAAGGCGACGAUCCGUAACUGGUCUGAGAGGAUGAUCAGUCACACUGGAACUGAGACACGGUCCAGACUCCUACGGGAGGCAGCAGUGGGGAAUAUUGGACAAUGUGCGAAAGCCUGAUCCAGCCAUGCCGCGUGUGUGAAGAAGGUCUUCGGAUUGUAAAGCACUUUAAGUUGGGAGGCGUUACCAACAGAAGAAGCACCGGCUAACUCCGUGCCAGCCGCCGCGGUAAUAC